AUGUUACUUCCUACAAUACAUUGCUUCUACAUUAGUUUACUUUUUUUUAUUAUUUUACUAAUAUCUUACUCAAAAGCCAUGGACAGAGGUUUGCAUACUGGACUAAUGAGGCCAGAGCAUUGCUCCAAGGUUCACUGCAGCCGAUAUACAGGGUCCCAAAGGCCAGCAAGAGGGAACAUGAGGUUUCGAUUAGAAAAGGAUGACAGGUGCAUCAUAUUGGAGUUACCAACAUGUGUGCUUUCUGUAAUCCUAAAUGAAGUGGUACUACAGGAAGGAGAUAAGGCAUACUUAAGAUUGGCUCUUGUGUGUCCACUGACUCCUUCAGGAGACGGGCACAUUUUCAGUGGCUUGACAGUAAGUGUUUAAAUAAAGGGUGCUGUGGUAUACAAUACUUGAGUACCUCACGUGUGUUUUCACUAACCUUAUGGAAAUGUUCACUUUUGAUUGAUAAUUUGUUUUUCACAGGUGUCGCUACAUGGAGCAGGUUUUCUGAGUCCUAAAGAAAAUAAUUCUACACCAUGUACUCCGUGGACACCUGUCGUGAAUGUGGAAUGCUUUUCAAAAACUGCACACCUGGUAAACAUCUUAACACUGGAUGGAUUUGAAUCUAUGUCAUUAUACUCAGUAUUGAUGUCAUAACUACGCUUAGACCACAUCCUGAGUCUAGUGGUCACUGGUCAGUAUAAUCAUCAUUCUGUUUUUUCUUUUUCUUUUACAGGAUAUGUUAGAACAGGACAAAGGUGUGUACUUGAAGCAGUUUACUCAGAAGACCCACAUCCAGGUUACUGCGAUCACUUUUGCCGCCAAAUGCAAUAG
rnacentral:lncRNA from 1 species